AACAUCCAACAACAUUUUAUGGCACGAAAGGCCUCAACAUAAAGUCAACAACAUUGUUCAAAUAACAAUAAAAAGGCUCCACAGCAUAAUUCCAAAAUUGAUACAUAAGGAAUGAAAAAUGAAUAUAACUAAUUUCCAUCCCGUACGUAUCAAAGCCCUAGACAGUUGAGCCACCACACCUACUACUCGGAAUCACCUGCACGUUACCCACGGUCGAGGCAACAUUCAAAGAGAAGGGGUGAGAUUCACAAUCAACAAUAAUAGACAUAAAAUUCAUCAAUUGAAUCUAACACCCUAUUAUAAUCAACAUUUCAAUAUUUAAAUAUAUUUCGUGUUCACAUCAAAUUCAUCAUAAUCAACUUCAACCAAUUACGUAGAAAGUAUCAUUCAAUCACCGACAAUGACUCAUGCAAUGACAUGACAACACCACUAAGACUCCUCGACAAAUGCAACUGGACACAUGCAUGUGGUACCAUAUUCAGGGCCGAAGCCCUCACCGCUGUUUGAAUGGUUAAAACAUUCAUCAGGACCCAGGUCCUCACCGCUUUGAACAACAAGGUGUUCCAGGACAUAAGUCCUCCCGCUUUAAACGACAAGGCGUUCCAGGGCAAAAGCCCUCACGCUUUUAUAUGCUUAUGCAAUGGACUCCACUUGUGUAUAUCUACAUACAACUCAACAAUGCAUAUAUAUAUGUAUAUGACUUACAACUCCACAAUUCAACAACAUGUAUGAUUUUAAUUAAAUAUAACAUACAUCCCAGUCAACAACAAAUCAUCAUAAUCAACCAAUAAUCUCAUAAAAAUGCAUAAUUAAUUAUAACCAUGCUCAGACAUCAAGAUCGUUUAACACAAUGCAAUUAAAUAACAAACAGCUUCAGGAACUGAGCAACUCGCCUCGCAAGUACUUCUACUCGCUAUGGCGAACUCAAGAAAUGAGUUAAAUACUCUCAAACACCUUAAUUGAACUCAUAGCACUUCUAGUUUGGAGGUUUGGAAUUAUUCCAUAAGUUUUGGAUUAACUUAGAAAUGGUUAUGCUGAAUUUUCCUACGAUUUCACUAAGACCUCUUUGGAGUAUUUUUAUCAUAUCUCAAAAACUAAAAAUCAUUUUCAAGUCAAACCAACGCCAUUGGAAAGCUAACAAAAUUAUCUACAACUUUCAUGUUUACACCAAGACCCAGUUCAAAACGGAAAGGGGUGAAAAUAGUGAAAUAAGAAGGAUCUGAUUCACAGAAAUCGUGUCACGAUUUUAGAAAAUCGUGCCACGUUUUUGUGCCCAGAACCAUUGAAUUUUCGGCCAACAAAAUCGUGCCACGCUUGCCAAAUCGUGACACGUUUUAACAGCAUCAGGUCCAGAAAUCUGCUUCUCAAAAAGUGCGAUUUUCACCAUUUCGCGCGUAAAAUUCCAACCGUUAAUCGGAUUUUGGUGCCGUUUUCGCCUACACGCUCCUGACACUUGGCUCUAUCUUAAUCUACAACAAUUUCAAGUCUCAACCAUCCCAAGGAUUAUUUUUCCCAAAACUCACAUAGUCUCUUAUUUGCAUGAACGUUUAGACUCCGAAUUUUCAAGCAUAAACUCCAAUUUUCAUGAAACCACCAAGAACAUCAUAUAUUUAUAACAAGCUCUAUAAUUAAGAUUACCUAUGACAACAAUCAUCAAUAACAACAUAUCAUAACAACAACAAUUCAGCACUUAUUCUAAUAAUCAUACACGAUCCCUCAAAUUCCAUUAAUGAUCCUAAUCUCCCUAAAUUGAUUAACAGCAGUGAUAUGAAAUACUAAAAUCGAUUCUAAUCAUGAAUUAAGCAUACUUUAUAUGGUUCUAUACCUUGUCAAUUCAAAUUCAAGAAUUCAACCUAUUUUCCAAUUUCCUUCAAAAUCAAGAAUAAUUAUUAUGAAAGAUCAAUUUUCAGAAAUUCUAUACUAUUAUUAUUGAGAGAUAGUCUCACCCUUACCUUAAUUCAGAAGAAAACCGCACAGCAAUUCAGUUUCCUUGGUUCCUCUUACUCUUCUCUCCCUUGUUCUUGGUUUCUCCCCAAAACUGAUGUUUUCACGUAAAACUGGUUUUCUAACUUCUCCCUUUUUCUUAACUUCUAUUAUUAACUCCCCUUAAUUACGCUUAACUUCCCUUAAUUC
rnacentral:lncRNA from 1 species